rnacentral:rRNA from 1 species
UACGAAGGGUGCAAGCGUUACUCGGAAUUACUGGGCGUAAAGCGUGCGUAGGUGGUGAGUUAAGUCUGUCGUGAAAGCCCCGGGCUCAACCUGGGAAUGGCGAUGGAUACUGGCUCGCUAGAGUGCGGUAGAGGAGAGUGGAAUUCCCGGUGUAGCAGUGAAAUGCGCAGAUAUCAGGAGGAACACCGAUGGCGAAGGCAGGUCUCUGGGCCACUACUGACGCUGAGAAGCGAAAGCAUGGGGAGCGAACAGG